ensembl:lncRNA
UCAGUCAUUUUAAUGAUCUCAUUUUUUUUCUUUCUGUUCAGCCCUGUUUGCGACCAGACUUCACUUCACGGGUCACUGCCUUCCCUGACUUUUCCACAAGCCGGGGAAGCCCAGCUCCUAUCUCAGAUGACUUCUCACUUGCUGCUCCAGACUCUCUGAAUGGAUCUGGUGGUGGGACUCCCCGCAGCUCAGCUGUUGUGUCCAGUCUAUGUGACUCUUCCUUGGUUUCACAUGCCAGUGAGGCACAGGCCAGAGAACAGGCCUUUAGGACAGAAUUUAACCUCAUUUACACCUGCUCUCCCCUCAAUGCUAAUCUACCCACUGGUCCAGUAAGUGACAGACACUUCCCACAAUCAGAGGGAGGCUUGUCCACGGCUGACUCUGACUUGAGCACAAUGUGCUGCCAGGGGCUGCUGAUGGAAGCAGGGUCUAGCUCUGGCUCUCUCUCAAUGUAUCUGGACACACAGUUUGGAGGUGGAUAUUCAGAGCGCAGCACAUCCCCCAACCCUAGCAAUCCACCACAGAAGAAGAAGGUCUCUCUGCUGGAGUACAGGGAAAGAAAGAAAGGGCCAAGGGACCCAGCGCCUCAUGUCACAAACCUCAGCUCCAUUUUUCUUCGCACAGAGUCUCCAGGACAGCCGCGCACGCAUUUUCAGCCUUCAGUCUCUCCGCACAAUUCGUUCUCUCCAGAACGACAAGCUUUUCCACAGAUAGAGGAGGUCAGUCCUCCUGGCAUCAGGUCUGGAAACCACACACAGACCACAGUGCUGGGCGGACCGGAGUCCAACCACUGGAUGGUCCCUACAUCAGUUGAGCGGUUGAGGGAGGGACAGAGUGCUCUGGAGCGUGUUCUGAGGGGUAAUCUGAACAUAGAGCGUGCCCUUAAUAGAGGAGAUGCUGGAAUUAAUUACCAAAUCAGCAGUCGUGCCACGAGCUCUGAUGCUGUUGAGAUGGACAGGUUUGAUCUUCAAAGCUCAUCUCUGGCCUCUCCCUUAAAAAGUCCUUCGCUUCAUCCACAUCAGCAGAUGCUGCCUCUCCAGCCAGAAUCCCAUCAGCAUUUGGAAAGCCCAGCCUACGACCAGCAGAGCUCCUCCUCUCCAUUCUGUCCAUCUGUAAGCCCCUCCCCUCCCCGCUGCAGCUCUGGGGGGCCAGGUUACUAUCCUUCAAAGCUGCCCACACACAGCCCGCUCACCCAAGAAAGCCCAUCCUCUUCUACAGUAUCUAUCUCCUCAGUGGACUCAACAAUAUGUGUGUCACAUCCUCACAGCAGCAGUGGAGGUGGAAUGGACACCUCAAGCCUUAAAGCUAAACUGUUGGACAGCUCCCUGUCUGCUGCUCUCUCUCCCCCCACCAGAGGCCACCUUAAAAUGGACAGCGCUGCAGUACCACACACACAAGGUGCUCAUGGCUCCAGAUUGGCUCAGUCGUCCAGAGUCCACAGCCAGAGAACAGACAGACCCAGUCAGGCUAACUCGAGACAUCUCACAGCUUCUGGAGCACAGCACUAUCCACAACGAAAUUUACAGGGUUCAGGAGUAUGGACACAGUCGGGGACCUUUUAGGACCCACAGUGUGCGUGUAUAUGUAUAUGUCUGUGUGUGUGUGUGUGUGUGUGUGCGUGUGUGUCAGAAAGAGAAGUGUGUGACAUCCUCCUCGCUUUUACCUGUGGAGAAGCUAUGCGUUGUUAGAGGAAAUUGAUGUAUUGAGUUCUUUAUGGAUGGUCUAUUUUUGUCUUUACUUUCCCCAGUUCCUUUUAUCUUUUUCCAAAAACUGAAUUUCUGCAGUUACAUGUAACUUAGUGUGGACUUCAUAACAAUCAAAUCAAUGGAACAUUAAAGUAACUAGUUUGGAGUAUAUAAUCAGAUUUAAAUGUAUUUUGAAAAUUCACCCAAAUGCUACAAUGAUGUGUUCACACUGAAGUGCAAGUAUUUAAGAGUAAGAGGAAAAUUUGAGCACCAGUGGUGAAACAAAACCGUUUCUCUAAAAGUAGCGUUCUCAUGUUUAAGACUUCUCUAAGAGUAAAAGUGAUCAUGCUGAUCUUAGAUGAGUUUUCAACUUUUUAUGUAUAAUGAAUGAUAUAAUGACCGUAUGAAAUGGCACUCUUUAAGAUGCUUUGCAAACUUGACUCGGAGUGCACUCUCCUGUUUUCAGUUUUAUCAGUAGACGUCAUCAGAACAGUCAUGUAGUGUGUUCAUGGUUGGCACGCUUGGCUCAGAGCAAAGUGUUUUUGAAUGCACAUGAAAGCAAUUCUUAGUGAACAGUGAGUUAUUUUCUCACUCUAAAUCAUUCCAGUGUCUAGCUGUCAUUAGGGUCCGACAGGCCUCUAGCCUGUUGACUUCUCCUAUUAGUGUCAUCAAAAUCACUAUUCACUUGAAAUAUAAUACUUGACAAGCAGAUCUUAUGGUGCUUCAGUUGGUCCAGUUGAAUUGUUUAUUUUGUUUCCCAGUGUGAUCACAGUUGCCUCUUAAGGUAAAAACAUGCAAUUGUCAGUUCAAACGUUGUUUUUUAAUUUGUUUCCAAUGAUUGUUAAAGACCCUAUCUGUGACUCGCAAAGUGCAGGACUUUGCCGAAAAGAAUUUGCAGAAAUGUUUUUGUUUAUACUCCGUUAAAAAAAUGUGUACCCUCCCAAGCCCUUUAAUCCUAAGUGUAUACUUCAUUUCUCUCACUUCAUGCUCUUCAUUUGAUUUUCUCUCCUUGACCAGUCCUUGCAUUCCAGCCACCAUUUUAGGAAGGAAGAAAGGAAAGAAAUGCUAUGGCCAAAUGGUUUGAUCAGUAAAUAAUUUUUUAUUUACAAGAAGCUGCUCACAGGACAGCCUUUUUAGCAGAUAGGCAUAGUGCUGUACCUCACUUGGAUGAUACCUUUCUUAAACAGUAAGGUUGCCAUGAUGACCACAGUAGUGGGAUAUUUAAACCCCACUUCAAACAAAACCGAUGCCCCUUGCAUUUGGAGAAUCAAAGUUGUCUGCUUGGUGGAUUAUUCUAGCGUGGUCCAACAGUAGAAAAGAUUAAGUCUGUUUUUGUUUUGGCCUAGUGUGAAAAGAUCUUGAAAUGAUGACGGGUUAAUGUGGUCAGCCUUAGCUCACUGGUUUAUAUGAAUGUCUCUUGAAAAGGAAAAAAAAAAAAAGACUAUGUGAUCUGAAAUUUACCAGCACCUUGACUACAUGAUCAUGUGUACUUGGGUGAAGUGUUAUUCUGUUCUCAGAGAAAUAUAGUACACCAAAUUUGCUGCAUGAUAUUUAUUUUGUGUCAUUCUAACAGUCUACGGUUGGGUUUAUGGGAUAAGGUUUUGGUUGACUAACCUCUUUUUAACCCCACAAACAUUUGGCACUUUUCUAGUAUCCAUAGACAUAUUUUUGUUGUAUUUUUUUUACACCUAAUUUGAACCCUUCCCCUUUUCAUGACAUAAGUUGCAUCACAUUUUGCUUUUUAAAUAAAAUGUUUGUGAACAUUUUUAAAACUAGUUUUAGCUUUUGCUGAACAUUGGUUGCAUGGAAAGAGCUCAGAGUGAUUGAUAACAAUGGUUUGUUUCCAUUUAUCCAUUAAUAUAACAUUUUAAAAACACCCUAUGGAGUAAGCGCAAAAUAAGGUCUAUGGUGGGCCUUAAAAAUCUGGCCUCAUUGUACUCAUUACCCUUUUUAAACUGGCUAUUACGAUCUGAAUUUGGGCAAUCCUAUCACAAGUGUACAAUGCUCAAUACAAGUCUAAAUGAUGUCCGAAAUAGUCAGUUUGUCUACUUUCAUUUGAAGGUGAUAGAAAAUACAUGUGACCACAUGGCAAUCAUACUAAAAACGCCGAUGUAGUCAAAUGUUUUUGAACAGCUGUAAAGGACCAUCUACUCACACAAAACGGG